ACGGGUUGUGUGAAGUCAAACGAACUCUUAAGUCACUUCUGAAGUAGUUUAGUUAAAAAGAAAACAUCAGAGUCCACGAAAUGUUAGAAAAACUUAGUUUUCAUACUCUCAGAUAAAUAAAUGAAGUAAAUUUUACUUAUACAGGAUUUGACAACAGAGUACCGAAGUACUUUACAGCAAAAGGGAGAUAAAAACAUGUAAGAAUAACAGCUUAAACUGACAGCAAGAAAAAUACAUAAGAGAUUAAAAAUUAUAAAAUCAAUAAGAUGCCACCAACUACAUGUGUGUUUUUAACUGACAUUUAAAACUGUUCAGGUCAGAUAUCAUCAACAGUUCUGCAGAAAUAUUAUUCCAUAAGUCAGGACUGGAAAAACCAGAGUCACCCCAGUGUUUCUGUUGGGAUCUGGACACAAGGGCGGAAGUACCAUAAGGCAAAGCAAUGGAAUAGUCCAGCAACAGCAAACCAAGAAAGACUUACCAAGAGAUAGACUCACUAAAAAAGCACGCAUUUAGUGCAAGUAACUGCCAGAAGCAAUCACUUCCUAAAGUGCAGGAAGACAUAACCAGAAAAAGAACAACAGAAUUACAACAAAAAAGUCAAAGUGGGAUGACGAUAAAGUUGUAAAACUUUGGGGAAAAAAAAAAAA